CAGAGGGUGCAAACGUUGUUCGGAAUUACUGGGCGUAAAGCGCAUGUAGGCGGUUCGUAAAGUCAGACGUGAAAGCCCUGGGCUUAACCCAGGAAGUGCAUUUGAAACUCACGAACUGGAGUCCCGGAGAGGAAGGCGGAAUUCUCGGUGUAGAGGUGAAAUUCGUAGAUAUCGAGAGGAACAUCGGUGGCGAAGGCGGCCUUCUGGACGGUGACUGACGCUGAGAUGCGAAAGCGUGGGGAGCAAACAGGAUUAGAUACCCUGGUAGUCCACGCCGUAAACGAUGGGUGCUAGGUGUCGCGGGCUUUGACUCCUGCGGUGCCGUAGCUAACGCAUUAAGCACCCCGCCUGGGGAGUACGGCCGCAAGGCUA
rnacentral:rRNA from 1 species